rnacentral:rRNA from 1 species
UACAGAGGUCUCAAGCGUUGUUCGGAUUCAUUGGGCGUAAAGGGUGCGUAGGCGGUGCGGUAAGUCGGGUGUGAAAUCUCGGAGCUUAACUCCGAAACUGCAUUCGAUACUGCCGUGCUUGAGGACUGGAGAGGAGACUGGAAUUUACGGUGUAGCGGUGAAAUGCGUAGAUAUCGUAAGGAAGACCAGUGGCGAAGGCGGGUCUCUGGACAGUUCCUGACACUGAGGCACGAAGGUCAGGGGAGCAAACGGG